UGAUUUCCAUUGAUUUCGAAUCAUCUAUUUCGUGGAACGGUGAUGGAGAGUGGAGCGCCACUGCGCACAACCACACCCACCGUCAUUCUUUCGAUUUGUGCACACCAUCUCUCUCCCUCUCGCCUCGCUCUGUACGUGCGUGUGCGUCUGCCUCCCUCUCCUGCUUUCGGACCGACACAUGACACUCCGCGGUGGAGGAGGCAGCGGCCCUGCCGCGUCUUCGCUGUCUACGAUGGACUUCCCAUUACACGUAGCCUCGCCGUCCCCCACCGCGUCAUCCUCCUCGCCCGCCCCCACCGCAGCCGCAGCAGCCUCCACAUCGCUACUGAGCUCGUCCAACGCGCUGGAGCUGAUGCGCACGUAUCACAUGUACGUGCGGGUGCACAAGACGCGCUGCCGGUAUCUUCUUCUUCUGCUACUGAUGCUCCUCUACUACUUCCAGUGCACCUUGUGCGGGCGGCACGACAUUCUCAUGAACGCUGCCGGCGAGGGGUCGUACAGGGGUCUGAGCGGCGGUGUUGCAGGUAGCAGUGCUGUGGGAGGCGCCGGCCUCGCUGGUACCGGAGCCGGAGGCCCUUCAAAGGACGGCGGCCUACGCCUCGGUCUAGCCGCUCCAGACACGGAGGCUGCGGGCGAUGACGGCGGUCUGGCGGGCAGCUCCGAAGGCAGGCGUCGCCGUUACGCGCGGCCGCCGCUUAUCGCGCGUGCGCUGGGCGGCAUAGGGGCGACGGUGGGCCGAAUGGACCUGUGCGAAAUAGAGUGGUGGCCCCCGUCCAACCGGACACCAGACGCGACCGACGCACACUAUGAGCAAGGGCUGAACGUGGCUACCCCCAACGCGGCCUCUCUUUCGCUGGCUCGCAGUGAACCGCCAUGGUCAGCCAAUACACAGCGUGGGCUCGUCGCGGCCAUCGCCCGCAGCGCAACGCGACUAUCAGGUCUUCUGUUUGGCGAGGACCCCCCACCGUACGAGCGGGCGCUGAGCGCCUUCUUCCGCACGCGGCAGGCGAGGUCGGGCGAGUCGUGCAACCGCUGUCAGGCCCGCGCCAUCGACAAAGGCGUCCAGAAAGAGCUGAUCAACUACAACGCCUUCGCGCGAGACUUUAAGCUCCGCGUCCCGCUGCUGCUCUAUUACAACCGCAUGCCCGUCUACGCCAUGAUGCAGCACCUGCGGCUCAUGCGGGCUCGAAGCUACCAGUUGCUGGAUUACAUGAGUCGCGGCCACGCCUCGCAGAGCCGGCCGGAAACAGCGGCGGGCGACGGCGCCGACAGCCCAGACUUGCACGCGCGGCAGCUGCGCUUUGAGCUGGCACGGCUGUCGCUGGUCUUUUAUCUGCAGCGCCUCCACCUGCGCGCGCUGCGGCACGCGGACGCCAUGCGGCUGGAGACGUUCCACUUCCUCCGCUAUCUUAGCUCCACCAUCCCCGUCCUGCGCAGCGUCUGGGUGGGGCAGGAUCACUGCAGCUGGCCAGGCGUCUCGUGCGUCGUCGUCCGCGUUCCGCUGAACUCGCUGAUCGACAGCGAGCACCCUGCUGUGCAGGCGUUCGUGGAGGACAUCUUCUCUGUCUGCCGCGGCCCGCGGUGCCGACAGCGGCGCUGCGCCGCGCCGUCCUGCUCGGCCUACACACGCCAUCUGACGCGCCGCCUGUUCACCUCGGCGGCGCCGGCGUACUGGCUCAAGUGGGACCGCACGGACGACACGGCAGCGAUGGACGAGAUGAUCUGGGAGAAGGCCCCCACCUCAUCACGCGGUGCUGCCGGCGUCAAUGGGAUGGCGGCAGCACCACCGCCAUCUCCCUCGGCCGCCUCCACCGGCACUGACGGAGACGCAGGGCGCAGCGGAAGCACAAAGGCAGCAUCCGCAAGCUCCGCGGCGGCGGCAGCAGCCCGCUCGAGCCGCGGCACCCCUGCGAGAUCGAAACGGUCGGUGUGGACGGAGCAGAUGUUCGCGUACGAGCACCCGCACCUGGUCCUGACGGAACCAACCUUGCUCGUCGACAUCGACGUGCAGAACAUCAUCCAGGAGAUGGUCGAGCCCGUCGUCGCAAGUGCCCCUUGCAACGGCGGCGACAACGAAUGGGCGCCGUCAUCACCGUCGCCAUCAGCGACUCUCUCAGGCCCCCCGUCAGACUUCGCCACGCCGGAGUACGCCGAGGACGUCGAGCGGCCACUCACUGGUGAUCUCUUCAGUAUGCAGCGCCGCCUUCUCCGGACGAUUGCCGAGGCCGCGCCGCGGGGGCUGCAGUACGGCAAGCAGCGCAACGACAGCUCCACCGUGACGAUCCCGUACACCUUUGUCAAGCUGAACUUGGUGAACAUGGGGCUGCGUGGGUACUUGCCGGACUUCUACGACAUCGCGUCCGCGUAUGAUGAGCAGCGAGACGCUGUCGCUGCUCAUGGAAAGCGCGAGGGCACCAACAAAGGCAGCGGUGGUGCCAGCGGCACCCAGUCGGGCUUCGUCGAUGCCUGCGAGGCGGCGAACCUUCCGUCCGCAACAGCAGCCGCGACCCGGCAAUGCAGCAGCAAGUCAGCGCCGGAAGCCAGCGUGCUCACCCCUCGCUCUGACCUGUACUGGGGCCGUCGCUCUCGCAUGCGCAUGUUGGAAGCACGCAACUUGUCCUCUGCCUCCCUCGCAAUGGCCUCGGCGCGGCGGCCUCUAGCGUCUGUGGCGGCGAUCGGAAGCGAGCUGCAGUGGGUGCUGCGUCGGCUGGAGAAGAUCGGCCAGCGCAACCACCACGAAGACCUUGCCGCCUACUUCUCCGAGGUGGCCUCGCUGGCCCGCUUUCAAAAUGAGCAGUGGAGCCCCUACCGGUGGCCGGAGGCGAUGAUCGCCGCCAUGAGCGACGUGUCGCAGUCCGCCACGCGGCGGCUCUACAGCAUCCUCGAGGACAGCGCCUUCUCCCCAAGCUUUACCGACCCGGUGCAGAGCAUCGAUCACAGCGUGAACGCCUUCGGGGAGCUGAACCCGCGUCUGAUCGGCCUUCUGUCACUCGACGUCUCGGCAAACCCGUUGCUGACGCAUCUGUUUCCACGAACGUGGUUGUCUAUCCCGCAUCUGCAGUCAGUGCGGACGACCGGCACUUCCAUCCUGGCACCGCCGCUGCGGCUGCGGCCACGCCUCUACAACCACGCCGCCUACUGCCCUGCGUCGUCUAUGCGCUUCGGCAGUGGUAUGAAGGCGGACGCCGACGAGGCAAUGGGCGAACGACGCCGCAGGGAUACGGAGGUGACAGCAGCGACGGAGACGGCACUUGACAAGGUCGAGGUAUCCUCUGCUACGGGGAGCAGCCUUCAUGACAAGGACUUCAUUGGUGCUGUGCUCAUGCCGCCCUUCUCCAAAAUCGACACUGUGUUCUCUGCCAGCAGCCCGUCGGAAACUAUCUUCCAGCAUCAGGACCCCCUCACCGGCCGGCGUCUCCUCAACUAUCCAGCCUCCCUCCAUGACGGCUUUGUGCAGGGCAUCAAACGCCUCCUCUCACUGCAGUAGCUAGUCAGCUCCCUGCCUCCCUCCCUCCCUCACCCAUCCAUCCCACCCCAUGUUACUACGAGUUAAGGCCCGCCUCGUGCGCAGAGAAGCGCCCGUGAGACAGACGCGCGUGGAUGAGUGUGAGCCUCCGCGCGUGUGUGUGUGUGUGUUCCUUGUUUCCGGUCGCACCCUUCAACAUGGCGUGCCAAUCUCACCACCACCACCACUACCAGCGCUCCCCUCCCUUUCGCCGUCCUGCGCCGCAUCCCUCCUCGAUAUGCGGCACCUCUCAUCCACGCUACUCGUGAUGCAACCAACCCACACAUCCA
rnacentral:misc_RNA from 1 species